UUGUUUCAUAUAUUCAGUAGCCAGCUUUACACAAAACAUACAGUAAGAAAGGAGCAAUGGGUUUCACAAAAAUCUUAGUGACUUGCUCUUUUGUAGUUAUAAUGGUUGUUUCGUUGUCCACCCAAAACGAUAUGGUAUCAGGGAUCCGAGCUAACAAAGGGGAGGUCCACAUGAAAUGCUUUGAAAAACUUUUAUGCAGCAUCACAUAUCAAGCAAAUAACUGCACCAACUACUGCUUAAAAGUCGGGUAUCAGACAGGAGAUUGCCGUCCUCCAUAUAGGCAGCCUGAGAAACCUUUCGUUUGUUGUUGUUAUUAUAUAUAAUGAUGAAUCUUUUAAAUUACAUCUUUUAUGAGAGAGAGGUCACUGUGGUUUCUCUUUAUAUUAUUAAUGCCAUGAAAUAAAAACCCAUCUUUGAACA